AUCAUUACACAAAUAUGAAGGCGGGCUGGCACCUCUCGGGGUGGCCAGCCUUGCUGAAUUAUUCCACCCGGGUGUCUUUUGCGUACUUCUUGUUUCCUUGGUGGGCUCGCCCACCACAAGGACCAACCCAUAAACCUUUUUGGGUAAUGGCAAUCAGCGUCAGUAACAAUGUAAUAAUUACAACUUUCAACAACGGAUCUCUUGGUUCUGGCAUCGAUGAAGAACGCAGCGAAAUGCGAUAAGUAGUGUGAAUUGCAGAAUUCAGUGAAUCAUCGAAUCUUUGAAAACGCACAUUGCGCCCUUUGGUAUUCCAAAGGGCAUGCCUGUUCGAGCGUCAUUUGUACCCUCAAGCUUUGCUUGGUGUUGGGCGUCUUUUUGUCUACCCCCUUGCGGGGAGACUCGCCUUAAAGUCAUUGGCAGCCGGCCUACUGGUUUCGGAGCGCAGCACAAGUCGCGCUCUCUUCCAGCCCCAAGGUCUAGCAUCCAACAAGCCUUUUUUUCAACUUUUGACCUCGGAUCAGGUAGGGAUACCCCCC
rnacentral:rRNA from 1 species